CUGGCGGGUGUAUCGCCGGUGUCGUCCCCAGCCACAAAUGUCGCUCUCGCUCUUCUUUCCUCCUCCUUCCGCCGCCGUGUUUUUCUACCCAGAAAACUGGAGACAGAAAAAGAAUCAUUAAAUCGAAUUAAAUCAAUCGGUUAAGUUAGGCCUCCUUUCCGCUCCUCCCCGAAUUAAAUUAUAUGGCGACCUUCUCCCUCUCCUCCUCCUUAUCCCCUUCGCCUCGUUCUCUUCUGCCCUCCUCUUCUCCUCCAGAUGCCCUUCCCCUCUCCAUCUCCCGCCUUCGCCGUCGUCUCCUCCCUCCGGCGAUCCGCCGGACUGCCGCGAUGGGCUCCUCUCCCUCCGCCGUCAGGGCUUCUCCCACGUCCGGCUUCGACGCGACCGCCGUCGACGCUCUCGGCGAUGUCAGCAUCCUCGCCGCCUCCACCGGGGAGCCGGUCUUCUUUAGGGAUCUUUGGGAUCAGAACGAGGGAAUGGCUGUGGUUGCACUUCUGAGGCAUUUUGGGUGUCCUUGCUGCUGGGAACUUGCUUCUGUUCUGAAAGAUGCAAAACCAAGAUUUGACUCGGCUGGUGUUAAACUAGUUGCAGUUGGUGUUGGUACUCCUGACAAAGCUCGUAUUCUUGCUGACCGGCUACCAUUUCCACUGGAUUGCCUUUAUGCAGAUCCAGACCGCAAGGCAUAUGAUGUUCUGGGCCUAUAUUAUGGUUUGAGCCGUACCUUUUUCAAUCCAGCCAGUGCCAAAGUGUUUUCAAGAUUUGAUUCUCUCAAGAAAGCAGUAAGGAACUAUACAAUUGCAGCUACUCCAGAUGAUAGGGCCAGUGUCCUGCAACAGGGCGGUAUCUUUGUAUUCAAAGGGAAGCAGUUGUUGUAUGCAAGAAAAGAUGAAGGGACUGGUGAUCAUGCACCUUUGGAUGAAAUUUUUGAUGUCUGCUGCAAGGUUCCAGUUGCAUGACUCUAGUUUGCCGAUCAUAAAUAUGUAUACUUGCACACGUGUUUGUUCUUCAAAUAGUACACCAUUUUCAGUCUGCAGGUCAGAAUUCUGUAAAUGACCUGAACCAUGUACGUUCAUCUUUCUGUAUUCUACUUAAAUAUAAAAUUCACUGCUUGAGAUGGACUGUGUCUCCAUGUCUGUCUGGAUUCUGGAACUGGCUGCUUUUGUAGAGAAGGAAAUCCUAAAUGUUUUCUCUAGGUCAUACCAAUGUUUUUAAGAUAGCAGCACACUAUGCAUGGACAACUUAUUGAUGGCGAGGGUUCACAUGAUUGUAGAGCUUCAACAGGUGUAAGGGAAGGAGCUUCUUUUAGGUGGCUGAUUAAUUCCAAAAGUAGCCAACAGUUGUGCAGCUAGUGGAACUGUCUGAUUCUCAAUGUUGGAGAUCAGGAGGGAAAUUCAAGAACUUUCAUGAUGGAACACUAGUGAAUUGUUUUCAAUCAAAUUCUUUUACCUUGUCAUAAAUAAUGGGUUGUUCAAUUGGCAAUCAAUGAUAGAAUUGUUAGCAUUUAAAACAUGAGGAAUAGGAAGCCAGUCUCUGGCCUAAAUUGUAUAUUGUGUAAUCUGAGACAGGAAAUGAUGAGCUUUUUUUCUUAAAAGAAA